rnacentral:rRNA from 1 species
UUGAGUGGCGAACGGGUGAGUAACACGUGGGCAACCUGCCCAAAAGAGGGGGAGUAACACUUGGAAACAGGUGCUAAUACCGCAUAACCAUAGUUACCGCAUGGUAACUAUGUAAAAGGUGGCUAUACUACCGCUUUUGGAUGGGCCCGCGGCGCAUUAGCUAGUUGGUAGGGUAAAGGCUUACCAAGGCAAUGAUGCGUAGCCGAAUUGAGAGGUUGAUCGGCCACAUUGGGACUGAGACACGGCCCAAACUCCUACGGAAGGCAGCAG